rnacentral:rRNA from 1 species
UACGUAGGGGGGGGGGCAAGCGUUGUCCGGAUUUUUAUUUUGGGCGUAAAGAGCGUGUAGGCGGUUUUUUUACAGGUCGCUGUGAAAACUCGAGGCUCAAACCUCGAGCUGUCGGUGGAAACCGUAAGGCUAGAGUCCGGAAGAGGAGAGUGGAAUUUUCCUGGUGUAGCGGUGAAAUGCGCAGAUAUCAGGAAGAACACCCGUGGCGGAAGGCGGCUCUCUGGGACGGUA